rnacentral:rRNA from 1 species
UACGUAGGGGGCAAGCGUUGUCCGGAUUUAUUGGGCGUAAAGAGCGUGUAGGCGGUUAGGUAGGUCCGUUGUGAAAACUCGAGGCUCAACCUCGAGACGCCGAUGGAAACCAUCUGACUAGAGUCCGGAAGGGGAGAGUGGAAUUCCUGGUGUAGCGGUGAAAUGCGCAGAUAUCAGGAAGAACACCCGUGGCUAAGGCGGCUCUCUAGUACGUGACUGACGCUGAGACGCGAAAGCGUGGGGAGCGAACAGG